CCUACGCGCGGCAGCAGUGAGGAAUAUUGGUCAAUGGGCGCGAGCCUGAACCAGCCAAGUAGCGUGAAGGAUGACUGCCCUACGGGUUGUAAACUUCUUUUAUACAGGUAUAAAGUGAGGCACGUGUGCCUUUUUGUAUGUACUUUAUGAAUAAGGAUCGGCUAACUCCGUGCCAUCAGCCGCGGUACUACGGAGGAUCCGAGCGUUAUCCGGAUUUAUUGGGUUUAAAGGGAGCGUAGAUGGGUUGUUAAGUCAGUUGUGAAAGUGUGCGGCUCAACCGUAAAAUUGCAAUUGAUACUGGCAGUCUUGAGUACAGUUGAGGUAGGCGGAAUUCGUGGUGUAGCGGUGAAAUGCUUAGAUAUCACGAAGAACGCCGAUUGCGAAGGCAGCUUACUAAACUGCCACUGACAUUGAUGCUCGAAAGUGUGGGUAUCAAACAGGAUGAGAUACCCGUGUAGUC
rnacentral:rRNA from 1 species